GAAUCAUGACGAGAAGUUGACCCGCGCAACACCACAGCAUCGACCAUCGGAUGAAAGGGAGAGAAAACCGAAAUCCAACUGCCAAGGGUAAAAAAUCCACAGAUAAUGGAGAGCUAACCAAUAAAUGACUGUUAUGCUAUCUUGUAUGGGGGGAACCAAGACAGAGUUUGUGGUCUUUUCGGGAAGGCGAGUGAAGAGGACGAAUGUGUGCGGGAGUGGUCGGAAUCCCAGGACGGCGGAUACUGGAAUUCGGCAGUUCAGAGGUUGUCGGAGGUCCGGAGGUCGUUGUGGACGGAUCCGGAGGCACCAGCUCCAACAUAUUAAUUUUCUUGUGCACAAAACCGAUAAAUUUACUGAACUUUAUUUCAUUUGUUUCUACGAACCCAACACCAAGGAAUAAUUAUAAAGUGUGAUCAUUUAAUUGCA